rnacentral:rRNA from 1 species
AAUACAUGCAAGUCGAGCGGACGAAUCGAAAGCUUGCUUUUGAUUCGUUAGUGGCGGACGGGUGAGUAACACGUGGGCAACCUGCCCUGUAGACGGGGAUAACACCGAGAAAUCGGUGCUAAUACCGGAUAAUACGAAAUGUCGCAUGACGUUUCGUUGAAAGACGGCGCAAGCUGUCGCUACAGGAUGGGCCCGCGGCGCAUUAGCUAGUUGGUGAGGUAACGGCUCACCAAGGCGACGAUGCGUAGCCGACCUGAGAGGGUGAUCGGCCACACUGGGACUGAGACACGGCCCAGACUCCUACGGGAGGCAGCAGUGGGGAAUAUUGGACAAUGGGGGGAACCCUGAUCCAGCCAUGCCGCGUGUGUGAAGAAGGCCUUAUGGUUGUAAAGCACUUUAAGCGAGGAGGAGGCUACUUUAGUUAAUACCUAGAGAUAGUGGACGUUACUCGCAGAAUAAGCACCGGCUAACUCUGUGCCAGCAGCCGCGGUAAUACAGAGGGUGCGAGCGUUAAUCGGAUUUACUGGGCGUAAAGCGUGCGUAGGCGGCUUAUUAAGUCGGAUGUGAAAUCCCCGAGCUUAACUUGGGAAUUGCAUUCGAUACUGGUGAGCUAGAGUAUGGGAGAGGAUGGUAGAAUUCCAGGUGUAGCGGUGAAAUGCGUAGAGAUCUGGAGGAAUACCG